CUUUGUUUUGCCCUCCAUCUGUCUUUAUUCCUCUCAUUUCCACCUAUUCUUUCUGUGCUAUCUGCUCUCUUUCGCUCCUGUCUAACCGCCUCUCUAAUCCUCUGUAUCCCACAAUCCUUCUUGUCUUUCUCUCUCUUUCUCUGUCUCCAGGGCCAGAGGGCUGUAACCUGUUUAUUUAUCACCUCCCUCAGGAGUUUGGGGACGGCGAGCUGAUGCAGAUGUUCCUGCCUUUCGGUAAUGUCAUCUCCUCCAAAGUGUUUGUGGAUCGGGCGACAAACCAAAGUAAAUGCUUUGGCUUUGUGAGCUUUGAUAACCCGGGCAGCGCUCAGGCCGCCAUCCAGUCCAUGAACGGCUUUCAGAUCGGCAUGAAGAGACUCAAAGUGCAGCUGAAGAGGCCAAAGGACGCCAACCGCCCAUAUUAGCCCCGUCCCUCCCCCCAGCCACCCCUGACCCUGGGGGUGAAGGCCGCCGCUGCACACAGGGAACGAUAGGUUUUGUAGAGCUGGAACACAUGUUGAUAACAUGCCAAAUGUAUUUGAAAACACAACAGAUCAAGAUCAUCGGGGCUGGGGAUACAGUAGAGCUGAAGCGGGACAUGAGGAGGACGUAGCUGCGUGAUAUACCACCACCAGGCUCAAUGGACCUUUUUGGACUUCAGUGUUUAACUCAGGGGAGUUACUGGACCAUACCGUACUCCCUUCUCCGAACCCCCGAGCCCUUAUUUUGCAGGACCACAGGACACACUACUGAAGACCAACACAAAAUAUAUAUAUAUAUA